CCGCCUUGGUAUAGUUACAAUGAUCUACAAAGAAUUAGACAGUGGGCCGUACCACAAUAUUCUGUCGUUUCGUGACCCACAACGAGGGUGGGCAUGAUAUUGGUAUCAAAUUGUAGAUAAAAUUUUGGAGAUUAUUCUGUCUCUUUUCACACGCGAGAUUCUGGUACGUUAGUUAGCAAUUGCAAUAUAUUUACUGUCUAUUUACAAACUUGAAAUAUGCGUGAAUCGGGUAUAUGUCCCCA